ACGGGUUACAUUUGUAGCUUGCUACAAAUGUAAUUAGUGGCAGACGGGUGAGUAAUGCAUAGGGAUCUACCUAGUAGUAUGGGAUAGCCACUAGAAAUGGUGGGUAAUACUGUAUAAUCCCCGCGGGGGAAAGAUUUAUCGCUAUUAGAUGAGCCUAUGUUAGAUUAGCUAGUUGGUAGGGUAAAGGCCUACCAAGGCGAUGAUCUAUAGCUGGUCUGAGAGGAUGAUCAGCCACACUGGAACUGAGAUACGGUCCAGACUCCUACGGGAGGCAGCAGUGGGGAAUAUUGGACAAUGGGCGCAAGCCUGAUCCAGCUAUGCCGCGUGAGUGAGGAAGGCCCUAGGGUUGUAAAACUCUUUCAGUAGGGAAGAUAAUGACGGUACCUACAGAAGAAGU
rnacentral:rRNA from 1 species